rnacentral:rRNA from 1 species
UACAGAGGGGGCAAGCGUUGUUCGGAAUUACUGGGCGUAAAGGGCGCGUAGGCGGCCUUCUAAGUCGAACGUGAAAUCCCCGGGCUCAACCCGGGAACUGCGUCCGAUACUGGAAGGCUUGAAUCCGGGAGAGGGAUGCGGGAUUCCAGGUGUAGCGGUGAAAUGCGUAGAGAUCAGCAGGAACACCCGUGGCGAAGGCGGCCCCCUGGGCCGUACCUGACGCUGAGGCGCGAAGGCUAGGGGAGCGAACGGG